rnacentral:tmRNA from 1 species
GUCAGUUGUUAGGAGGAGAGGAGACGGGACUGGGUUCAGAUAUUCAUAUAUGUCCAAAAUGAGCACAGAUUUCCCGGCAGGCCCCACCAGAUGUGCCACUGUGUUAUACUUUGAUGGUGGGAUUGCGGUGGGUAAGACCACCGCCCUGGAGGCUGCUGCUGAGUUUCUGCACAACAUACUUGUGAUCUCAGAACCUAUUCCUUACUGGACUUCCACUUUUGACAAAAAUGUCUGUCAGCAGAUCUACGAUGUGGUCAAGACCAAAGAAAAGGGGAAGAAGCACUCCAAAAAAGUGUUGCAAUGCCAAAUGGCCUUUGCCCAGCCUUUUCAUGCCACCCAGCACCUACUCCGCCGGACGUGUCUAGGUACCAAGGUCUCCGAUGGAACAUGUAACAAUUAUGUGUUGAUUGACAGGCAUAUGGUGUCUCCCACAGUCAUCUUUCCUUGCCUGUUUUUCAGAUUGGGGGUGUUGAGGUUCUGUGAUUUGUUAUCACUAUUGUCUGUGUUUUCAGCACAAAAAUUUGAUAAUGUUGUCUUGUUUAAACUCCAUCCCAAAGUAGCUGCGACCCGAGUCAAGGAGAGGGGGAGAAACCCAGAAGGUGUGAUCAACCACACGUACCUGCAACUCCUCAAUGAAGUAUUGGAUGCCAUUUUUUGUGCCUGGGAACUGUUGGCGAUCGUGCCUCCUGAAGUUAUUGUGGAUGCUAUGCUUUCCCAGACUUCAGUUAAGACUGUGUUUCAGAAGGCUGGCUUUGUUGCACCCAGGGCAAGGCUUAUGGAACAGAUGUUUAGAGAUAGUAUUUUUAAUGACUUGAGAGAAAAUGUGCGUCAGUUGCCACUACAUGGAUCAUCCAUCCCAACCUUGCUACAUAAAUUUUGUUAUGAACUAUCCAAACCACAUAUGGUUAAACUAGAUGCUGGACAGUUUCCUAACGAUGUUCCCGGUUUGUGGACUCACAUAUAUACCCAAAUACUCACAGACCCGGCUAUUAAAACAUGCGACCUGAAAUGGAAUAUCCUAGAAAAGGGCAUAUCUGGUGGAGACCCUCAGUAGUAAUAAAUAGCCAAGCACAAUGGUGACAUGUUUGAAAAAUUUGUUUCUUUACUGUAUCUUUGUGUCCAUGAUGGUGUGGUUGGUGCAUGGGGUAGGCGAUCGUGAUAGUAAGGGCGAGGGGGCCACAAUAAAGGUUAAAAGAAAUGAUAAUGGCGUCAUUUCAGUCUAUAUUGAUGGAAAAGAUUAUGCAUACAUUUUUAACGUGACCAAGGCUUUGCAAGAUCUUGGGAGGGAUCCUAUAAGACAAAUUUGGCGCCAUUCUGAUGUCUUUAAGCCACUGACAAGGACUUUGGCAGAAAGGGAUUCCAUAUUUGUAACCAAUGAUACAAUACACAUAGAUUCAGACAGUCUGUUUGUCUGCCCGGUUGGUAGGGGCUAUCCCACCAUUACCAGCCAGGUUCAGUGGAAAGACCUUCCCCCUGGCUAUCUUGGCAAAUUUGGGUGGCAAAAGAAUAUGGCCCUGAAGGAAUUUAAUGAAAAUGAAAGAUUUACCAUGUUUUCAGAGAAUGAGCGGGAGAAGACACUGGUGGUGGGGAAAGAUAAAUAUGUGGAAUAUGGAAGCCUGACCUGGAUGAUGCCUGAAUGGGGCGGGACCUAUGGAGUUGUGACUAAUAGUUUUGCCUUUGUCUCUGUCAACAUAACUGUGGAGUCCCAAGUUUGUUCUGCGUCCAUAAUUUUUUCCCAUAAUAAAGGUGGACCAAGUUUCAAAGGAUCAAUUGUGCCUGAAAAAAUUCUCAUUGGUAAAACUGAUUUAUAUAGCAUGUAUUUUAUAGCCUUCAACACCAAGCCUGUCUGUCAAACGGAUAUCAUAACUGGGAUUGAACUCCAGAACCUGUUUGUUCAAAUGGUUACAGAGUUACCAGAGAAUAUAAUGGCGGAUAUUGCCAAUGAUGUGGCCUAUUUCUCUGCUGUUAAUUGCCAUCCCUUGAAGAUUCCUGUUCCCAGGCUUAUAAGGACAUUUACAAAACUGACAAUUUCUCAUUUUCUGACAAUAUCAGGCAUUGUGGCCACCAAAACAGAUACAGUAGACGUUGGUUGCCUGAUUCAGCAGCUAGCGGACCUCAGGUACUUGAGAGAAUCCCUCAGUGCUUGCAGUAUGGCCUACUCUCCUCACAUGUUUACAUCUAAUUUCCUGAAGUUUCUGUCAGGGGUGCAGAUAGAAAGGCUGCCAAAAGCCACCCAGAUCCCUCAGGCGGAUAUGUCAAGAGCCAUGGCGAUGCUAAGGUUUGGAAUCACCAACUACAACGUCUCCGCCCACGCCUUCACAUUCAUGGAGGAAAUGUUUGAGAACAUCUAUAGGGAAUAUUCAUAUGUCUAUUCUCUAACAUCAGAAACCAGGAAGGCAAUGAUGGGCGUGAGCGAAACCUUAAAACACGUUGCCAAGCUCUGGAAGUUCACAACUAAGGACUUGAUAAAAUUGUUCACCAUAGCUACGUCCAUGUGUACAAAUAAUGAAAUUAGUACCAUGGUUGAAAGACACGCCCCCCUUUGGGACAUCGAUGCAGUGGAAACUUUCUCUCCCUGCUAUCUGAGUCUCAGAUUUGACUUUAGUGCCAAUAAGAUAAAUUUUGAGGUGGAGCAGACUAGUCAGCUCACGCCCAAGAGGACUUCUGGGGGUGUGUCUGGCUUUCUCACAGACCUUCACAACCAUCAUCUGGACCUGGUGGCAACGCUGCCUUUUGUAAAGUGUUUGUCUCAUGUUAUCAACAACACUGAUGUGAUACUGCCACUGGAAAAAAUAACAUAUAUCAUCAGCAAGGAAGCUGUACCGGGGGUGACAGUGUAUGAUGUAGCUGAGACCUUUCUAGAGAGUAAGUUGGUGAUAUCUGUGUUCACGGACGAAUGUCAGCCAGCCCUGCAAGACACGGAUGUGCACAGAACUGUUCCAGUAAUUUAUAAUAUCAGUGAUAGCAGAUGUCAAUUUUGUGGUUCGAUCAUCAUGAGUUAUGAUGAAUCACAGGGAUUUCUGGCAGCUAUGUAUGUGUCAGACAAAACCAUCCAGACAAAUUUGUUUCUCCCAGAAUCACCCUUUUUUGAUAAUCACAAUACCCACGUGCACUAUCUUUGGCUCAUGAGCAAUGGAUCUGUUGUGGAACUUAGAGGAAAAUACAGGAGGCAAAUUCAGAGUGUCUUUAUUUUAUUUGCUGUCAUUUCUCUGCUCUGCUUCCUCUGUUUUCUGGUAUUGCAGAUAAUAAAGUACAUUUUUCAUUAAAG